rnacentral:tRNA from 1 species
GUCGAUAUGUCUGAGUGGUUAAGGGGACAUAAUUGAAAUCUGUUGGGCUUCACCCACACAGGUUCGAUCCCUGCUGUCGACG